AAUAGGGCAAAUCUGUCGAAAGGCAGUGGCGCAAAGCUAUAGGGUCUGAAUGUGCAUUUGUACAUAUGACUGCCAGCUGC
rnacentral:ncRNA from 1 species